CCUCAGGGUAUCUGGGCCAUCUUUUUCUAUCUUAUUAUUAUUAAGCCUCAUUUUCGUUCCAUCAGUGUAAAAUGCAUCUUCUAUUUUCAUUCAGCAGAUGUCACUGCAACACAGGCCAAAUUUGGAAAAUUGUUUGGAGAGGAAUAAGCAGAUAUGCAUACUUAGAAAAGCUUUUCCAUUUUUAUUUCUGAAUGGCUGUUUUUUCUAUACAAAGACAUUUCAUUAACUCACAAUGAACAAUGUACUGUAUUAUUUAUUCAAGUAUCUACUGCCUGGCAGUUAUGUGAAUUUAAUACAGGAACAUAUUGUAAAAGAGGCCAAAGCAAAGUGUGCUAAGCACCUGUCAACAUUUAAUAGAUAGCAUAGAGUGGCUUUUAAAAACAAAGCAAUUGACCAUCUAUCAGCAUGUGGAACAUUGUCUUAAAAAUUCAAAAUAUACUAGAUUUCAAGAAGUGAAUAAUUUUGAAUAUUUUAUAAGUUUAUGUAGCCCACAGGUUUGCCACAAAUUUCCAUUCUCAAAUAUGAUUAGGUCUUAAUCUAACAUAAACAUUCUAAAUAAAGAACAAUAGAUCAUCUGGUGAAACAAAUUAUACAGAAUAUGCAUUUUCAACAUUUAUUUAUCUACAACUGAUGUGAAUAUCCAUGUAUGAACAAGUUUGUGAAUUUUUAUAUUCAGUACCUGUUACGAGUCAGACACCAGCCAAUAUAAAUAACUGUUUAUUGCAAAACAACACAAAAGAGACUAGAAAACAACCAAAAAAGGGCUCAAAACACUUUCUCUUCAGUGUGAAGUAACAAUGUCCAAAAAGAACUCAAAAAACCCAAACUCAGGAUAUAAUCUGGAUUAUCCUGGGAAAUAAUCCGGAUUAAAACAAACUAUGCCGAAAUGGCUGGAAACUCACUCCACCUACUUGAUGGAGCUUAGCAAACACAGGAAAGCAACCAGCAAUAACCCACAGUGACCAGAGGCCACACUGGUCCUCAAAACUUCAUUGUGAAGCUAAACUGCGUAGUAAAGGAGAAGUCACAGCUGCCACAUCCUGUCCGCAUCAUUAGGGAGAAGUCACAGGCAUCGAGUUCCAAUCCGCGUCAUUAGAGAGUAGUCACAAUAACCGAGUUCCAGUCCACGUUGCUAGGGAGAAGUCAAAGGCAUCGAGUUCCAAUCCGCAUCGUUAGGGAGAAGUCACAAGCUCCGAAUCCCAGUCCAAGGUCAACACAAACAGCCAAAGCGACGGAGGCAAGCCGGCAGCUAAUGCAUAAAACCAACACAGGACAAUCCAGCGCAAACCCACACAAUGCCAGCCCCCAUUGCCACUGAAAACCCGGGUUAACACUUACAUCCCAAAGCAGUCUUCCAAACACGUCUCCUGAAACAGAGAUCCUGAAAGCGCCCAACAAACACCUUGCCGAUUGCAAUGUUACAUUAGCAACAAACUUACUUUUAUUUACAAGUCCUCCUCCGAACUUGAGCCAGCUAACGCCCUAUCCACAGCUGAACCUUGUUGCUGCAAAUCCUCAUCGGAUCUGGAGUCGCCCAACGCCCCACCAAACCCACCUCCAGCUGCUGCCCUUCUACGAUCUCUCCAGCCAGUCCACCUUCUAUCCAAACCCAUAACUCCCCAGGAUCCAGCUGUAUCUUCGCUGUGCCAUCCCUCAAAUGUACCACUGCUUGUGAGUUCCUCAAAAAUAUCCCAGAUCUCUUGAACCCUAGUCCAAUCCAUCUCUUCACUCCCAGAGUCCGAUAUCCCAUCCUCCUGACUCCCAGCCCCACAAUCCCCUUCAAAACCCUCAAAGGAAUCAUCAUCAGCGGAUUCUCUUCUUUUGUUGCUCCUCAUCAGAGUCUUGCAGUUUUCCUGCCUCUUCUAACACAACUAGUAAAUCCAAGAUUGCAUCAAUGGUGGCAAGAACACCAGGUCCAGAGGCAACAAAGCAGGCCAAAACCAUAACAUUAGUAUCACUUUGUUUGACAUUGGGAUGACAUUCUUCUGUUUGAACUCACUGCUUGUUUUUCACUAAAGGCCAGAUUUUUUCUCUUUGAAUCAUCUGUCCAGAGAACAUUGUUUCAGAAGUCUUGUAGAUCCUCUAUGUGAUUGCUAAUAAACUUCAGAUGGGACACACUG